rnacentral:rRNA from 1 species
GAUGAACGCUGGCGGCGUGCUUAACACAUGCAAGUCGAACGGUGAAGCAGAGCUUGCUCUGUGGAUCAGUGGCGAACGGGUGAGUAACACGUGAGCAACCUGCCCUGGACUCUGGGAUAAGCGCUGGAAACGGCGUCUAAUACUGGAUACGAGACGUGGCCGCAUGGUCAACGUUUGGAAAGAUUUUUUGGUUCAGGAUGGGCUCACGGCCUAUCAGCUUGUUGGUGAGGUAAUGGCUCACCAAGGCGUCGACGGGUAGCCGGCCUGAGAGGGUGACCGGCCACACUGGGACUGAGACACGGCCCAGACUCCUACGGGAGGCAGCAGUGGGGAAUAUUGCACAAUGGGCGAAAGCCUGAUGCAGCAACGCCGCGUGAGGGAUGACGGCCUUCGGGUUGUAAACCUCUUUUAGCAAGGAAGAAGCGAAAGUGACGGUACUUGCAGAAAAAGCGCCGGCUAACUACGUGCCAGCAGCCGCCGUAAAAC